rnacentral:rRNA from 1 species
UAAAGCGCAUGCAGGCGGCCUGUUAAGUCAGAUGUGAAAGCCCCGGGGCUUAACCUCGGAAUUGCAUUUGAAACUGGCAGGCUAGAGUCUUGUAGAGGGGGUAGAAUUUCAGGUGUAGCGGUGAAAUGCGUAGAGAUCUGAAGGAAUACCAGUGGCGAAGGCGGCCCCCUGGACAAAGACUGACGCUCAGAUGCGAAAGCGUGGGGAGCAAACAGGAUUAGAUACCCUGGUAG